ensembl:lincRNA 4930433J02Rik RIKEN cDNA 4930433J02 gene
ACUUUUGGCCUGUGGAUCAUGAUCUAGCUCUCAGAGCUACAGCUCUAACACCUGCCUACCUGCUGCCAUGUCCUCCAUCAUGUUAAAAUGGACUCAACCUCUGAAACUCUAAGGAGACAGAGGAAGGAGUCCACAGAGGCAUCACCAAGUUUCCUGGGAAACAGUAGGUCACACAUCUCCUGGAACUGCUUCUAGAAGACCUGACUCAGAUGGGUAGAGCUCACAUUACUGGUCUCUGUGGGAUUAGUUUUGGGAUUUAGUUUUCUGAGACAGUAUCUCAAUAUAUUGUUCAGUCUGACCUCAAAUUUAUAAUCUUUCUGCCUUAGCCUCCCAAAUUCUGAGGUUACAAACAUAUAUCACCAGACCAAUUAAUAUGUGUUUCUAACACACUCAAAACAAAACUCCAACCUGGGAGCUGAAGCAAUGGCUCAGUGGUUAAGAGCCUUUCCUGCUCUUCUAGAGGACCCAGGACCAUGUGUAACUCUAGUCACAGGAAAUCUGACACCUUUUCUGGCCUUCUUCAGCACCAGGCACAAGUAUAUAGAUGUUCAUGUGUAUAAAACACCCAUAUGCACUAAAUAAAUAAAUUUUAAAAACCAACACACACAAAUCCUCAAGGUUGUGCGUGAACACCAAUAAUUUCAGCACUCGGGAGUCAUUGGUUCUGGGUUAGCCUGAGUUACACAGUGAGAUUCUCUCUCAACAUAAACAAACAUUUGUGUUGGGUUUUCCUCGUGUAAUUGACUUCAUUUAUUGCACCUUCGUUCACUGCAGUCCCCUAUGACUCCUUUCAAUGCAGGGGGCCGUGUUAGGCAUUUUGAGAAAGGGUACAGCUAACUUCCUUUCUGAGUAGGAGCAUGGGAGGUGGGUCAGCAGGUCAGUAGGUCAGAGUUGAUCCCAUGCAGGUACCUUCUGCCUUCUGAGAGAGGCGGCCUGACUGUGCCAGUUUGUGCCAUGGUCAGCAGCAUAAUCCAGGUGUCAACCAGUGAGGAAGAUGGAAACUUGGGUUGUUAGUGCCUCAACUCACCUCAAGACUCAAACCACUAACUCUUUGAAUCUGCUUGUUUGAAACGGCAUUUAAAAUGAUACCUGCUCACGACACUCUGUCUGGCUCCUGGGCAUGUGGCUGGGUUCUUGCCUAUGUUGGUAGUACCCAGUGGUGUCAGUACACAGAACAGUUCUCAGCUCUGUGGGGAGGAGGGGGACGAUGUUUGAGAGGGUAUUUAGUUAAGGGGAAAAUGAUGGCCUCUCACUGGGCCUCCCAGUCUGUACGGGUUCUAACACUUCAGGGUCUUGGGAAGGCUAGAAGAUCUUUAGGUGCAGCUCCUGACCGCAUAGCCCUCAAAAAUGUCUUGUACACAUUUAAGUGUUCAUUCCUUUGUUCUG